rnacentral:rRNA from 1 species
AGUGAACGCUGGCGGUAGGCCUAACACAUGCAAGUCGAACGGCAGCACAGGAGAGCUUGCUCUCUGGGUGGCGAGUGGCGGACGGGUGAGGAAUACAUCGGAAUCUACUCUGUCGUGGGGGAUAACGUAGGGAAACUUACGCUAAUACCGCAUACGACCUAUGGGUGAAAGCAGGGGACCUUCGGGCCUUGCGCGAUUGAAUGAGCCGAUGUCGGAUUAGCUAGUUGGCGGGGUAAAGGCCCACCAAGGCGACGAUCCGUAGCUGGUCUGAGAGGAUGAUCAGCCACACUGGAACUGAGACACGGUCCAGACUCCUACGGGAGGCAGCAGUGGGGAAUAUUGGACAAUGGGCGCAAGCCUGAUCCAGCCAUACCGCGUGGGUGAAGAAGGCCUUCGGGUUGUAAAGCCCUUUUGUUGGGAAAGAAAUCCAGCUGGCUAAUACCCGGUUGGGAUGAUGGUACCCAAAGAAUAAGCACCGGCUAACUUCGUGCCAGCAGCCGCCGUAA